rnacentral:rRNA from 1 species
UACGGGGGGAGCAAGCGUUGUUCGGAAUUACUGGGCGUAAAGGGCUCGUAGGCGGCCAACUAAGUCGGAUGUGAAAUCCCCAGGCUCAACCUGGGAACUGCAUCCGAUACUGGAUGGCUUGAAUUCGGGAGAGGGAUGCAGAAUUCCAGGUGUAGCGGUGAAAUGCGUAGAUAUCUGGAGGAAUACCGGUGGCGAAGGCGGCAUCCUGGACCGACAUUGACGCUGAUGAGCGAAAGCUAGGGGAGCAAACGGG